GCUUGCCUGUUGCGACGGUGGGGGUGGCCAGCAGCUUGCCGGCGGCGUGUAUAUAUAGCUAGGACCUUGGGGCGUCGAGAAGCACCCAUCAUCAUCCAGCUGAAACCAUCGGUCGAUCGCUCGCCGGACGCAGCAUCGAUUCUCCUGGCACGCCCACGUCGGAGGUGGUCGACCGAUCGAUAGAUACGUGAUGGAGAACGACAGGAACAACCAGGCGCCGCCACCACCCCCAGGCUACUACCCAUCCGCGGCCGCGGAGCAACGUCAAGCCGGCGGCGGGAAGAAGUCGCGCCGGGGGAGCACCAAAUCCAGGGGCGAGAAGGGAUUCAUCGAGGGAUGCCUAGCGGCGCUGUGCUGCUGCUGGAUCUGCGAGAUGUGCUGCGACUAACCGGCCGGCGAGGCCGCUGCCGGCAAAAGAAGUUGGUGCUAGUGCCUACGAAGAACAUACCCAUACAGAGAGUCGUUUCUUAAUUACAGUGGUUUGUUACUUUGUUGUUUUAGGUUCUGCGGAAAUAACCGAGAACGCGUGCGUGCGUGCGGGUGUGAUGUCCAUGUACCUACCGUGCGUCACACCUAUAAUCAAUUUUAUGGCGCCAAA